UACGAAGGGGGCUAGCGUUGCUCGGAAUCACUGGGCGUAAAGGGUGCGUAGGCGGCUUUUUAAGUCAGGGGUGAAAUCCUGGAGCUCAACUCCAGAACUGCCUUUGAUACUGAGGAUCUUGAGUUCGGGAGAGGUGAGUGGAACUGCGAGUGUAGAGGUGAAAUUCGUAGAUAUUCGCAAGAACACCAGUGGCGAAGGCGGCUCACUGGCCCGAUACUGACGCUGAGGCACGAAAGCGUGGGGAGCAAACAGG
rnacentral:rRNA from 1 species